rnacentral:rRNA from 1 species
ACAGUCUCAGUUCGGAUUNAAGGCUGAAAUUCGCCUUCAUGAAGCCGGAAUUGCUAGUAAUGGCAGGUCAGCAUACUGCCGUGAAUACGUUCCCGGGCCUUGUACACACCGCCCGUCACACCAUGAGAGUUGGGGAUACCCGAAGCCUGUGAGCUAACAGUAAUGAAGCAGCAGUCGAAGGUAGAAUCAAUGAUUGGGGUGAAGUCGUAACAAGGUAAC